GAUGAACGCUGGCGGCGUGCCUAAUACAUGCAAGUCGAGCGAACAGACGAGGAGCUUGCUCCUCUGACGUUAGCGGCGGACGGGUGAGUAACACGUGGAUAACCUACCUAUAAGACUGGGAUAACUUCGGGAAACCGGAGCUAAUACCGGAUAAUAUAUUGAACCGCAUGGUUCAAUAGUGAAAGACGGUUUUGCUGUCACUUAUAGAUGGAUCCGCGCCGCAUUAGCUAGUUGGUAAGGUAACGGCUUACCAAGGCGACGAUGCGUAGCCGACCUGAGAGGGUGAUCGGCCACACUGGAACUGAGACACGGUCCAGACUCCUACGGGAGGCAGCAGUAGGGAAUCUUCCGCAAUGGGCGAAAGCCUGACGGAGCAACGCCGCGUGAGUGAUGAGGGUCUUCGGAUCGUAAAACUCUGUUAUUAGGGAAGAACAAAUGUGUAAGUAACUAUGCACGUCUUGACGGUACCUAAUCAGAAAGCCACGGCUAACUACGUG
rnacentral:rRNA from 1 species